AGCAGCCGCGGUAAUUCCAGCUCCAAUAGCGUAUAUUAAAGUUGUUGCAGUUAAAAAGCUCGUAGUUGAAUUUCGAGAUCAAUUUGUCGGUCGUGCCUCGGUACGUACUGGCAUUAUUGAUUUCUCCCUUCUGAAGAACCGCGAUGUCAUUAAUUUGGUGUCGUGGGGAAUCAGGACUGUUACUUUGAAAAAAUUAGAGUGUUUAAAGCAGGCUCACGCUUGAAUACAUUAGCAUGGAAUAACGAAAUAGGACGUUUGAUUCUAUUUUGUUGGUUUCUAGGAUCGACGUAAUGAUUAAUAGGGAUAGUUGGGGGCAUUAGUAUUCAAUUGUCAGAGGUGAAAUUCUUGGAUUUAUUGAAGACUAACUACUGCGAAAGCAUUUGCCAAGGAUGUUUUCAUUAAUCAAGAACGAAAGUUAGGGGAUCGAAGACGAUCAGAUACCGUCGUAGUCUUAACCAUAAACUAUGCCGACUAGGGAUCGGAUGAUGUAAUUUUUAAUGACUCAUUCGCGCCUUAAC
rnacentral:rRNA from 1 species